rnacentral:rRNA from 1 species
UACAGAGGUCUUAAGCGUUGUUCGGAUUCAUUGGGCGUAAAGGGUGCGUAGGUGGCGCGGUAAGUCGGGUGUGAAAUUUCGGAGCUUAACUCCGAAACUGCAUUCGAUACUGCCGUGCUUGAGGACUGGAGAGGAGACUGGAAUUUACGGUGUAGCAGUGAAAUGCGUAGAGAUCGUAAGGAAGACCAGUGGCGAAGGCGGGUCUCUGGACAGUUCCUGACACUGAGGCACGAAGGCCAGGGGAGCAAACGGG